rnacentral:lncRNA from 1 species
UGUAGUCUUGAGAGCUUUUCCAGUAUAUUCUGCUGUUGCGGCUUCUGAAGCUGUGUCAAGAUUUGCUGUUCUUGUUGGAGUAAGGGCACCCCCACUUGCUGAUGAUGCUCGGCACCGAGAGCGUGCGCCUAUUGACCUAGUCACAGUUCUAGAUGUUAGUGGCAGCAUGGCUGGAUCAAAAUUGUCACUCCUGAAGCAAGCAGUUUGUUUUGUCAUAGAUAACUUGGGGCCUUCUGACCGUCUAGCUAUUGUUACCUUUUCAUCCGGAGCUCAAAGAAACAGAGGAUAAUAUUGAUGAUGCUCGGCACCGAGAGCGUGCGCCUAUUGACCUAGUCACAGUUCUAGAUGUUAGUGGCAGCAUGGCUGGAUCAAAAUUGUCACUCCUGAAGCAAGCAGUUUGUUUUGUCAUAGAUAACUUGGGGCCUUCUGACCGUCUAGCUAUUGUUACCUUUUCAUCCGGAGCUCAA